UACGGAGGGUGCAAGCGUUAAUCGGAAUUACUGGGCGUAAAGCGUGCGCAGGCGGUUCGUUAAGUUCGUUGUGAAAGCCCCGGGCUCAACCUGGGAACUGCAAUGGAAACUGGCGGGCUUGAGUGUGGCAGAGGGGGGUGGAAUUCCGCGUGUAGCAGUGAAAUGCGUAGAGAUGCGGAGGAACACCGAUGGCGAAGGCAGCCCCCUGGGCCAACACUGACGCUCAGGCACGAAAGCGUGGGGAGCAAACAGG
rnacentral:rRNA from 1 species